GACGAACGCUGGCGGCGUGCUUAACACAUGCAAGUCGAACGGAAAGGCCCUGCUUUUGUGGGGUGCUCGAGUGGCGAUCGGGUGAGUAACACGUGAGUAACCUGCCCUUGACUUUGGGAUAACUUCAGGAAACUGGGGCUAAUACCGGAUAGGAGCUCCUGCUGCAUGGUGGGGGUUGGAAAGUUUCGGCGGUUGGGGAUGGACUCGCGGCUCAUCAGCUUGUUGGUGGGGUAGUGGCUUACCAAGGCUUUGACGGGUAGCCGGCCUGAGAGGGUGACCGGCCACAUUGGGACUGAGAUACGGCCCAGACGCCUACGGGAGGGAGCAGUGGGGGAUAGUGCGCAGUGGGCAGAAGCCGUGUGCAGCAACGCCGCGUGCGGGAUGACGGCCUUCGGGUUGUAAACCGCGUUCGCCUGUGACGAAGCGUGAGUGACGGUAAUGGGUAAAGAAGCACCGGCUAACUACGUG
rnacentral:rRNA from 1 species